UCUGUUGUAUCUGUUUUUAUAUAUCCAAUAAGCUGGAUUUGACUUUGCAAAGCCAAGAUAAUAACACUUAUAUAUAUGAAGAUAAUAAGACUAUGAGAAAUGAAUUUACUUGCCUAAGUUGACAAA
rnacentral:lncRNA from 1 species